rnacentral:rRNA from 1 species
GACUCUAUUUGUUGUGAUAUCUUAAGUGUUUUAAAUUAUUUUUAUGUUAUUUUUUGUAAAAUAUUUUAGUUUUUUUUUUGUUUUCUUGNGAUAUCAAAAAUUUGUUUUUUGAACUGGAUUAGUACCCAGGUAAUCAAAAUUUAGUAAUUCGGGAGUAAAGUUUUGUUUAAACCGAAAAAAUAUUGACUGACUUUAGAUUUUUCUUUGGAAUAUGUGAUUUGCUGGAGAGCCCUCUUUUUUGGUGAAUUUUAUUGGCACAUGUAUGAUUGUUUAGUUUUUAUUUUAUUUUGUAAUGCUUUUUUUGUUUUGGCAUUAAGAACAGAUAUAUAUUUGGCUUAUGGAUUCAUGUUUCAUGUGUUACUAUUAUAAAUUUUUUUUGGAUUAAUUUUUUAUUUUUUUUUGAAAUUGGAAAAGAAAGUAAUUUUUUCUUAAUGUUUUAAUGAAUUUAAUAAAUAAAGUGGUACAAACCAUCCGUCAAU